GCAAGAGAGUGCGCUCUCCGCUUCUCCCAUGGGAGAACUGGUUUAUCACCUUCCUUGCUCAGCAUCUGCUGCUAGGAUCAGGUGCUGCUCCUCACUCCACGAUUGUAGCUCAGAUUUGUAACAUAACUGACAGCAAACGGUGAUCCCUCCAUUUUCCUAGAGACAUUUGCAGACCUGUACUUCUCCACAGCUGCAGUUCUGCUCUUGGAAAACAGCCCUUCUCCUGUCUCACUCCCAUUUGGGCACUGCACUCAGGCCCAGAACCUAAUCCUGGAUGUCUCUAACUCCUGCUAAGGACCUGGUCUGCCCCACCUUUAAAAGGCUCCAGAAGGGUGAAAUCAACCCUCUGUGGGAGCAGACCCAAAAAUAUUGGAGUAGAUGGGAAUUUUGUUGAUGGGAUCACCUCUGAGAGUCUGGAGAAAUGAUUUGCAGCCUUCCUCUGUGUGGGUCAGAAGGGACAAAUCUCAGCAACCAAGAAGCUCUCUGGCAGAUUCAGGCUUGACCUGCAAGUGGUGAAGGUUGUGUGCAACUCUCCACUCAACCUCAGACACAUCUUCACCACCUCCUGCUGAACCUGGCUGCAUGCCUCUAGCCUAAACACCCCUGUGCAGCGAUCUUCCAGCCAUCUUCCAGACCUUUGGCAUCCUCACAGAUGAAGGCACUUGUUCCCAGGUCACUUCUAGGAAAGCUUUAGGCAGGCUGCUUGUUUUUCCCCCCCACCCAGUGCUUCAAUCCUUAAUCGCCACCUGCUUAGAUCUUGGAAAUGAAUUGUUGAGGCUGUCAGGACUGUACAGCACAUAAUCAAGUGCAGACAUGUACAUAUAUACAUAUAUAUGUGGGCCGGCUUAUGUUGUGAUGCUGUAGUACAGCUUAAUUAGGACAUCAUUCAGACAUCUGGGACUAUGCCUAAGCUGGAGAUUUUUCUUUUUUUUUUUGGUUUUCUCAUUUAGGUUUUAGUCAGAUUCCCAAGUGAAAUAAACAAAAGGCUAAUUGCUUUUGGAUUUUAAUUACCACUGCAAUACCUGGGCUUAUUUAUGAAUUGUGUUUUAUAGGUGGCUAAAGGACACCACUAGCAAAUGACAGAUUCUCAGCUGACAACAGCAGUGUUUAAACCAAAGUAAUUCUUUGCAGUGGGAUCCAAAGGACAGCACGCACAUUCAUUUGUUAAACUCCUAAUUUUUUUUGUUGUAGAAUGUAACUUCAAGACUUGGCUGACUCUUAAACAUGAUAUAAUUAAGCAUGCCUGAAAAUGUGUUUAAAAAAAAAAGACAAAAGUAGAAGCACUUUAUAAUCCAGA